GCGACCAUCGUAUAACGGUAUUACCCUGGCUUCCCAAGCCAGAGACACGGGUUCGACUCCCGCUGGUCGCU
rnacentral:tRNA from 4 species